UCCUGGGUCUUAAAUAUUAUAAGCUCAGGUUACCAGCUGGAAUUUAUAGAAUUGCCUCCUCUAGGAUGGGUCAAGCCUACAUCGUUCGAUCCCAUCCUAGAAGAAGAGAUUCUCACCCUUCUCGCAAAACAAGCCAUCCAGAAGGUACCAAGCAGAGACAUACAAAACGGGUUUUACUCCCGGUACUUCCCGGUACCCAAGAAAGACGGUGGUCUAAGACCAAUUCUGGAUCUGAGGGACCUAAAUACCUACCUCAAACCACACCGUUUCAGGAUGGUCAUCUUAGAAGCAAUCAUUCAACUGGUGAAAAGAGGAGACUGGUUUGUUGUUGUGGAUCUAAAAGAUGCCUAUUUCCACAUCACCAUCCAUCAAAAGUACAGGAAAUACCUACGUCUAAUUUUCAUGGACAUCAUUUACCAAUAUGUGGCUCUUCCAUUCGGCGCCUCAACAGCUCCCAGGACCUUCACCAAGUGCAUGGCCCAGGUAGCAGCUUUUCUCCACCUACAAGGGAUACAGAUUUGCCCUUAUACCGACAAUUGGCUGAUCGUGUCCAGAUCCAAAACAAGAGCAAUCAAGGACACACAACAUGUUCUGCACACUCUACAAGUGCUAGGCCUGUCAAUAAACUAUGAAAAGUCCCACCUGGAACCAUCUCAGGUGAUAGACUACACUGGAGAAAGACUGGACUCGGUCCAUGCUCACAUGUUCCUACCACCAGAGCGCAUACGAAAAAUAAGAAAGGCAGUUCAGAAAUUCAAGCCCCAAGGCAGAGUGUCAGCAAAACACACACAACAUCUUCUGGGUCUCAUGGCAUCAACAACUUGUGCCUUAUCCCACGCUCGCCUCAAGAUGCGCUCCCUUCAGUCUUGGCUGCUCACUCUAUUCUGUCCUCUGCAGGACAGUCACCGCAAGCGUCUAACAGUCACACCAGACCUAGCAGAACAACUUCAGCGGUGGACAUUCCCACCACAUCUUCUCAUAGGACAACCUUUUCAAUCCCUGCAGUUGACACAUCAAGUCACAACAGAUGCCAGUCCCCUGGGUUGGGGAGCCCACUGCGAAGGACACCAAAUUCACACUCUUUGGUCCCCUCAAGAAGCCACGCUCCACAUCAAUCACCUGGAGCUGAUAGCAGUGAUGAAGGCGCUCAGAGCAUUUCUCUCUCUGGUGAAGGGCAGAGCGGUACAGGUCGUCACGGACAACACUACGACCAUGUUCUAUAUAAACAAGCAGGGAGGAACACGGUCGAAGUCCCUUCUAUUUCUGGCAGUUCACCUAUGGGAAUGGUGCUACCAUCAACACAUGUUCCCUGUGGCCAUCCAUGUAUCCAUGACGGAGAACCAACUGGCAGACGAGUUGAGCCGCCGCUCAUUUCAAUCUCACGAGUGGGAACUCGAUCAGGAGGUGUUCCUCAGCCUGUGCCACAAGUAGGGACAUCCAUCCAUAGACAUGUUCGCGACACCGACCAAGACGUGCGACAAAUAUGGGAAAGGGCGAAGGGUCACUAGGGGAU
rnacentral:lncRNA from 1 species